UUAAGUAAGAAAGGGCGUACGGUGGAUGCCUAGGCACUUGAAACUGAAGAAGGACGCAACAAACGGCGAAACGCGGCGGGGAGCUGUACGUAAGCAAAGAUCCGCCGGUAUCCGAAUGGGGGAACCCGGCAUGCGUAAUAGCAUGUCAUCCGCAGAUGAACAAAUAGUCUGCGAGAGAGGUACCCGGGGAACUGAAACAUCUAAGUACCCGGAGGAAAAGAAAACAACAGUGAUUCCCUGAGUAGCGGCGAGCGAAAGGGGAGGAGCCCAAACCAGACCGAGGUCUGGGGUUGAAGGACCGCGAUACGGCAAGAAUCAUGGUAGGAGAACGGCAUUGAAAGGCCGACCGGAGAGGGUGCAAGUCCCGUAUCCGAAACCGUGAGGAAGCCCAGCGGGAUCCUGAGUACGGCGAGACACGAGAAAUCUUGUCGGAAGCAGGCGGGACCAUCCGUCAAGGCUAAAUAUAAGCAAGUGACCGAUAGUGAACCAGUACCGUGAGGGAAAGGUGAAAAGAACCGCGGGAGCGGAGUGAAAUAGAACCUGAAACCGUAUGCUUACAAGAAGUCAGAGCACGUUAAGGUGUGAUGGCGUGCCUUUUGUAGAAUGAACCGGCGAGUUAUGUUAUCGUGCGAGGUUAAGCAGGAGAUGCGGAGCCGAAGCGAAAGCGAGUCUUAAUAGGGCGGCAGUACGAUGACAUAGACCCGAAACCGUGUGAUCUAGCCAUGACCAGGUUGAAGUUCAGGUGAAACUGAAUGGAGGACCGAACCGACCCCCGUUGAAAAGUUGGCGGAUGAGUUGUGGCUAGGGGAGAAAUUCCAAUCGAACACGGAUAUAGCUGGUUCUCCCCGAAAUAGCUUUAGGGCUAGCGUCGAGGAUGAGUCUUGUGGAGGUAGAGCACUGAAUGUACGAUGGCCCCAUCCCGGGGUACUGAGUAUAAUCAAACUCCGAAUGCCAUGAGAUAUUCCCGGCAGUCAGACCGUGGGUGAUAAGGUCCAUGGUCAAAAGGGAAACAGCCCAGACCGCCAGUUAAGGUCCCAAAAUGUAUGCUAAGUGGAAAAGGAUGUGGGGAUGCACAGACAACUAGGAGGUUGGCUCAGAAGCAGCCAUCCUUCAAAGAGUGCGUAACAGCUCACUAGUCGAGUGACCCUGCGCCGAAAAUGUACCGGGGCUAAGCAUACUACCGAAGCUGCGGAUUUGUAGUAAUACAAGUGGUAGGGGAGCGUUCCAUGCACGUGGAAGCCAUACCGAAAGGAGUGGUGGAGAGCAUGGAAGUGAGAAUGCCGGUGUGAGUAGCGAGAUGCAGGUGAGAAUCCUGCACACCGAUAGCCCAAGGAUUCCAGGGGAAGGUUCGUCCGCCCUGGGUAAGUCGGGACCUAAGGCGAGGCCGAAAGGCGUAGUCGAUGGAAAACAGGCAGAUAUUCCUGUACCCGCGAUGGAAAUGAAGGAAUGACGGAGAAGGCUAGCAUGAGCCACUUAUUGGAUUGUGGUCGAAGCGAAUAGCAGGUGCAUAGUCAAAUGCGUGCACGGGAUGUAAAACGUGACAGGUAAGCGAAACCCUUGGGGAGUAGCGAAGCAUGCGAGGCCAGCUUCCAGGAAAAGUUUCUAGUGCUGAUUCCAUAGCGGCCCGUACCAAAACCGACACAGGUGGGCAAGGAGAGUAUCCUGAGGUGAGCGAGAGAACUGUUGCCAAGGAACUCGGCAAAAUGACUCCGUAAGUUAGCGAGAAGGAGUGCUUAUGAAAGUAAGCCGCAGUGAAGAGGCCCAAGCGACUGUUUAACUAAAACACAGCUCUCUGCGAAGUCGCAAGACGAAGUAUAGGGGGUGACGCCUGCCCGGUGCUGGAAGGUUAAGAGGAUUUGUCAGUUUCGACGAAGCAAUGAAUUGAAGCCCCAGUGAACGGCGGCCGUAACUAUAACGGUCCUAAGGUAGCGAAAUUCCUUGUCAGGUAAGUUCUGACCCGCACGAAAGGCGUAACGAUUUGGGCGCUGUCUCGGCAGCAGACUCGGUGAAAUCUUAGUACCUGUGAAAAUGCAGGUUACCCGCAACUAGACGGAAAGACCCCAUGGAGCUUUACUGCAGCCUGAUAUUGGAUUUUGAUCAGAGAUGUACAGGAUAGGUGGGAGACGAAGAAGGAUGCACGCCAGUGUAUCUGGAGUCGACGUUGGGAUACCACUCUUGUCUGAUUGGAGUUCUAACCUGCGUCCAUGAAGCUGGACGGGGGACCGUGUCAGGCAGGCAGUUUGACUGGGGCGGUCGCCUCCCAAAGAGUAACGGAGGCGCCCAAAGGUACGCUCAGAUUGGACGGAAAUCAAUCGGCGAGUGCAAAUGCAGAAGCGUGCUUGACUGUGAGACAAACAGGUCGAACAGGGACGAAAGUCGGGAUUAGUGAUCCGGCGGUGCCGAAUGGAAGGGCCGUCGCUCAACGGAUAAAAGCUACCCUGGGGAUAACAGGCUGAUCUCGCCCAAGAGUUCACAUCGACGGCGAGGUUUGGCACCUCGAUGUCGGCUCAUCGCAUCCUGGAGCUGAAUUCGGUUCCAAGGGUUGGGCUGUCCGCCCAUUAAAGCGGUACGCGAGCUGGGUUCAGAACGUCGUGAGACAGUUCGGUCCCUAUCUGUUGUGGGCGUAGGAGAUUUGAGGAGAGCUGUCCUUAGUACGAGAGGACCGGGAUGGACCUACCGCUGGUGCACCGGUUGUUGUGCCAACAGCAUAGCCGGGUAGCUAAGUAGGGAAGGGAUAAGCGCUGAAAGCAUCUAAGCGCGAAGCCUACUCCAAGAUGAGAUCUCCCAUACGCAAGUAGUAAGACCCCUUGAAGACGACGAGGUAGAUAGGUCAGGGAUGGAAGCGCAGCGAUGCGUGGAGUUGACUGAUACUAAUAGGUCGAGGACUUAAUCAA
rnacentral:rRNA from 1 species